GAAGCAAUGCGAAUUCAGGAUCUGAGAGACACAAUACCAAAUCAGGAGGGACGUCUCGACAAAGUAUUAUAUGCUCCAACGAAUCGUCCCCAGCCACCAGCCUGGGAGGAGUGGAAAGAAACGUCAAAGAGUAUGUCAGUGACCCCAUCGUUUGAAGGAUAGUGAGGAUUUUACUGUAUCUGAAAUAAGAGAAGGUAUUUUUCGACAUUGCUUAGGAAAUUCUACGCGAACGACCCCCCGAUGAUGCCAGAUAACCAGGAACCCCCACAGGAUGAUACGAUUCCUGCUACAGACGGAAUUCCUGACGUUCAUCCCCAGGCACGCCACUGUGGCGCUCGCACGAGAGAAUCCCCGAGACCUUCGAGGCGAGAUCCACGGCUUCGCCCAAGACCGGCCCGACCAAUGAGAAUGCAACUCUAGGUCCGUGCCGCUAUAAAUACCGUUCAACCGACUCGUCAGAAGAUGACCUACGAGAAGGUCGAAACGUCACGUGUUACCAGCUAUACCAGCACCAAUACCAGCCCUUAAACCUAAGACGACCCCGGCCCGAACUGAACUACGCCUACGGAAUAAUACCAGCACUGACGACGACCCCUG